rnacentral:rRNA from 1 species
UACGGGGGGGGUAAGCGUUGUUCGGAAUUACUGGGCGUAAAGGGCUCGUAGGCGGCCAACUAAGUCAGACGUGAAAUCCCUCAGCUUAACUGGGGAACUGCGUCUGAUACUGGAUGGCUUGAAUUCGGGAGAGGGAUGCAGAAUUCCAGGUGUAGCGGUGAAAUGCGUAGAUAUCAGGAGGAACACCUGCGGUGUAGACGGCUUACUGGACCAUCACUGACGCUGAGGCACGAAAGCGUGGGUAGCAAACAGG